CUCCUCCAUCAUAUUACUACAAUUCCCCACCACCACCAGUGAAGUCACCUCCAGCUCCAUACUACUACAAGUCUCCACCUCCCCCAACCCCGACAUAUGUUUAUAAGUCACCACCUCCUCCAUCACCAAAGUAUGUGUACAAGUCGCCACCUCCCCCAACCCCAACAUAAGUUUAUGAGUCACCACCUCCUACAUCACCAAAGUAUGUGUACAAGUCGCCACCUCCCCCAUCCCCAACAUAUGUGAACAAGUCAUGCACCUCCUCUAUCACCAAAGUAUGUGUACAAGUCGCCACCUCCCCCAACCCCG
rnacentral:lncRNA from 1 species